GCUGCUAGAACUGAUAAGUGAAUUUAGUAAAAUCACAGGAAACAAAAAUUGAUGUACAGAAAUCUGUUGCAUCCUGUACACUAAUACUGAAGCAGCAGAAAGUGAAAUUAAGAAAAAAUCCCAUUUACAGUUGCACCAAAAACAAGAUAUCCAGGAAUUAAACCAAAGGGGUGAAGGGCUUAUACUCUGAAAACUAUGAAACACUGAUGAAAGAAAUUGAAGAUAAUGGCAAAGAAAUGAAAAGACAUCCCAUGUAUAUGGGUUGGAAGAACAUAUUUUCAAAGUGUCUAUUAGAAAGCAAUCUACAGAUUUAAUCCCAUCCCUAUCAGAAUAGCCAACAGCAUUUUUCAACAGAACUAGAACAAACGAUCUUAAAAUUUGUAUGGAUCCAGGAUGCCUGGGUGGCUCAGGUUGAGCAUCUGCCUUUUGGCUCAGGUUGUGAUCCUGGGGUCCAGGAUUGAGUCCCACAUCGGGCUCCCCGCGAGGAGCCUACUUCUCCCUCUGCCUAUGUCUCUGCUGUGCUCUGUCUCUCAUGAAUAAAUAUAAAUAAAUCUAUCAUCUUAAAAAAAAAUUGUAUGGAACCACGGAAGACCUCAGAUAGCCAAAGCAACUUGAAAACUAAAAACAAUUGGAGUUAUCACAAGUCCAGAUUUCAAGUUAUAUUACAAAGCAGUACUAAUUAAAAUAGCAUGGUACUGGCAUAAAAAUAGACAAAUCGAUCAAUAAAAUAGAACACAAAGCCCAGAAAUAAAUCCACAAUUGUAUGAUCAGGCUUUUCAACAAAUGAUAUUGGGGGAACCGGACAGCCACAUGUAAAUGAAUGAAAUUGGACCACUUUAUUUCACCAUACACAAAAAUACACUCAAAAUGGAUUAAAGACCUAAAUGUGACACCCGAAACCAUAAAAAUCCUAGAAGAGAGCUCAAGGCAAUAAUUCAUCUGACAUUAACCAAAGCAACAUUUUUCUACAUAUGUCUCCUGAGGCAAGGGAAAUCAAAGCAAAAUAAGCUAUUGGGACUACAUAUAAAAUAAAAGUUUCUGUAUAGCAAAGGAAAUGAUCAACAAAAGGCAACUUGCUGAAUGUGAGAAGGUGUUUGUAAAUGACAUAUCUGAUAAAGAAUUAGUAUCCGAAAUAUAUAAAGAACUGAUACAAUUCAAUACCCAAAAAACACCUAAAUGAUCCAAUUUAAAAACAGGCAGAAGAUAUGAGCAGACAUUUCUCCAAAUAAGACAUACAGAUGGUCAAUAGACAUGAAAAGAUGCUCAACAUCACUCAUUAUCAGGGAAAUGCAAAUCAAAACCACAAUGAGAUAUCAUCUCAUACCUGUCAGAAUAGCUGAAAUCAAAAACACAAGUGUUGAUGAGGAUGUGGAGAAAAAGGAGCCCUUGUGCACUGUUGGUGGGGAUGCAAACUGGGGUGGCCACUGUGGAAAACAGUAUGGAGUUUGCUCAAAAAAUAAAAAUAGACCUAUCCUGUGAUCCUGUAAUUGCACUACUGGAUAUUUACCAAAAAAAAAAAA
rnacentral:lncRNA from 1 species